GACAAUUCCAGCACAUGAAAACAUUGUCGCCGCUCUAGCACAGUCACCAGUGAGUGGAAUGGUUGCUUCUGCAAGUCAUGACAGUUCUGUGAAGUUAUGGAAAUAAAACUAGGAGAGGAUUUGAUGCCGCGAUAUAUAUGCGCUUCAGGUGUUAGGGAAAAGUCCGUCUAUGUUGUUUUAGUGUAUUGUUGAUCAGAAAAUAUCAAUUUUUCUGCUUGUUAGUCAUCACAUUAGAGUUUGGUUUGCUUAAAGCAAGUUGAGCAUACUGAUUGCUGAGCAAUGGUUCGGUAGUGUAAUGUCUGCAACUGUUCUCAGUGAUUAACAACUAAUAAUAACAUGAUAUCAAGUUUAAGCUUAUUUCGGC
rnacentral:misc_RNA from 1 species